rnacentral:rRNA from 1 species
AACGAACGCUGGCGGCAGGCUUAACACAUGCAAGUCGAGCGCAUCCUUCGGGGUGAGCGGCGGACGGGUGAGUAACGCGUGGGAACGUGCCCUCUUCUACGGAAUAGCCUCGGGAAACUGAGAGUAAUGCCGUAGACGCCCGCAAGGGGAAAGAUUUAUCGGAGGAGGAUCGGCCCGCGUUGGAUUAGGUAGUUGGUGGGGUAACGGCCUACCAAGCCGACGAUCCAUAGCUGGUUUGAGAGGAUGAUCAGCCACACUGGGACUGAGACACGGCCCAGACUCCUACGGGAGGCAGCAGUGGGGAAUCUUGGACAAUGGGGGCAACCCUGAUCCAGCCAUGCCGCGUGAUCGAUGAAGGCCUUAGGGUUGUAAAGAUCUUUCAGCUGGGAAGAUAAUGACGGUACCAGCAGAAGAAGCCCCGGCUAACUCCGUG